rnacentral:rRNA from 1 species
GAUGAACGCUGGCGGCGUGCCUAAUACAUGCAAGUCGAGCGAACGGACGAGAAGCUUGCUCUUCUGAUGUUAGCGGCGGACGGGUGAGUAACACGUGGAUAACCUACCUAUAAGACUGGGAUAACUUCGGGAAACCGGAGCUAAUACCGGAUAAUAUUUUGAACCGCAUGGUUCAAAAGUGAAAGACGGUCUUGCUGUCACUUAUAGAUGGAUCCGCGCUGCAUUAGCUAGUUGGUAAGGUAACGGCUUACCAAGGCAACGAUGCAUAGCCGACCUGAGAGGGUGAUCGGCCACACUGGAACUGAGACACGGUCCAGACUCCUACGGGAGGCAGCAGUAGGGAAUCUUCCGCAAUGGGCGAAAGCCUGACGGAGCAACGCCGCGUGAGUGAUGAAGGUCUUCGGAUCGUAAAACUCUGUUAUUAGGGAAGAACAGAUGUGUAAGUAACUAUGCACGUCUUGACGGUACCUAAUCAGAAAGCCACGGCUAACUACGUG